rnacentral:rRNA from 1 species
UACGUAGGUGGCAAGCGUUGUCCGGAAUUAUUGGGCGUAAAGCGCGCGCAGGCGGUCCUUUAAGUCUGAUGUGAAAGCCCACGGCUCAACCGUGGAGGGUCAUUGGAAACUGGGGGACUUGAGUGCAGGAGAGAAGAGUGGAAUUCCACGUGUAGCGGUGAAAUGCGUAGAGAUGUGGAGGAACCCCAGUGGCGAAGGCGACUCUUUGGCCUGUAACUGUCGCUGAGGCGCGAAAGCGUGGGGAGCAAACAGG